ACAGGGAUUCCCCCAGUAACGGCGAGUGAAGCGGGAACAGCUCAAUUUGAAAUCUGGCCCUCGGGUCCGAGUUGUAAUUUGUAGAGGAUGCUUUUGGUGCGGUGCCUUCCGAGUUCCCUGGAACGGGACGCCUUAGAGGGUGAGAGCCCCGUACGGUUGGACGCCUAGCCUCUGUAAAGCUCCUUCGACGAGUCGAGUAGUUUGGGAAUGCUGCUCUAAAUGGGAGGUAUAUUUCUUCUAAAGCUAAAUACCGGCCAGAGACCGAUAGCGCACAAGUAGAGUGAUCGAAAGAUGAAAAGCACUUUGAAAAGAGGGUUAAAUAGCACGUGAAAUUGUUGAAAGGGAAGCGUUUAUCACCAGACUUUUUCUAGGGGGAUCAUCCGGGGUUCUCCCCGGUGCACUUCCCCUAGUUGAGGCCAGCAUCGGUUUUCGGAGGGGGAUAAAAGUUUCGGGAAUGUGACUCCCCCGGGAGUGUUAUAGCCCGUUACAUAAUACCCUUCUGGGGACCGAGGUUCGCGCAUCUGCAAGGAUGCUGGCAUAAUGGUGAUCAACGACCCGUCAUAAACCAGGGACC
rnacentral:rRNA from 1 species